GUGGGACCCCGAUUUGGGGAACCAGGCGGGAUGGAGCGUGGAGUGGGGGGAAGAGGUAGCAAAAGCUUGGUAGCUGGCUUUGCUGCCUCCUGAGGAAGGGGCACAGAAUCUCCCCUUCCCUGCCACAGGUAGUGGGGGUUCCUCCCUCCCCACCCCCUUAAAAUCCUUCUUUACCAGGAACUGCCUGAUCCAGAUGAAUCUCUUCUCCGGGGCCCACUAGUCUCUAAGAAAGGGACCAUGGAAUUCCUUUCUUCCCCGAAGAGCUCCCCACUCUCCCUGACCAGAGUCUCCUUGAUCUGGAGGCUGGGCAGCCCCCGGGGACCCGGUGGCCGCCGCUGACCCCGUGGCAUGCGGCUCUCAAAGGCCCCAUUCAUCUCUGGGGGCUGAAGGCGCCAUUGUCCCCAGCGGGGGGUGGUGUGGGGAGUGAAGGGGUCUGGACUCAGAAGGAAGGAAUGCGUCUGGAGAAGUUGCCCCCGGGGCUCCAGUCUCAAGGUCCCCACCAGAUCUCCAUCGGGACCCUUUCACGACCCCGAGCCCUUUCCCCAGGAGCUCCCAGCAACCUUCGCGCUUCUCCGGAGGGUGGGGUCUGCCGCGGCGCGGGGGCAGCCUCACCCCACCUCACUGCUGGACUCCGGAGAACCAUUUCUGGGACCGGGAGCUGUCCAGCGCCUCGGGUCCUGACGGACCGCUGAUUCGCCUAGGUGCCAUCGGACAAGCGGGUGCUCAGAGCCAGCUCUGGUGGCUCGGGAGCUUUCCCCCAACCAGGCUAAGACCACUAAACCACGCCUGGCCCGGAUGAGCUUGGAUGCAGCUCCGAACGUGGGGAUCCAUCGGUGCUGAGAACUGACCUAGGGAGCACCUUGACCCCUGCCCUAUCUGGGCACAAUUGAAGGGCCAAGUGCCACCAGCCCACUUUCCUGGAACCCUGUCUCAGACUUGGGCAGGAAGAAGAGCCAUGAGAGCCUUCAAUGCAAUGAGAGAGAAUAACAUUAAGGAAUAGCUUUGGAAUGGGAAGAACUCUCUGAACCCUGAAGGAUGAGAAGUCUGGAAAAGAGAGUGGGAAGAGUAGACCAGAAGGAGGAAAAGCCACAUAUUUAAGGUUUUGCUUCUUGCUGCAAGCAGAUUCCUUGGCUUUACCUUCAGAGCUUUUGACUCAAUGCAGAAAUGGAAAAGCCAAUCCUUAAAUUCAAAUGGAAUUGCAGCGGACCCCAAAUAGCCAAAGCAAUCUUGAAAAAGAAGAACAAAGCUGGAAGACUUACACUUCCUGAUUUCAAAACGUAUUACAAAGCUACAGUAAUCAAAAUAGUGUGAUAGUAGCAUAAAGGAUAGAGAGAUAUAUAUCAACGAAAUAGAAUUGAGAGUCCAAAAAUAUACUAAUACAGCUAUGGGGUCAAUUGAUUUUUGACAAGGGUGCCAAGAGCAUUCAAUGGGCAAAAAAUAGUGUCUUCAACAAAUAGUGCUGGGACAACUGGAUAUCCACAUACAAAAAAGGAAGAAGAAGGAGAAGGAGGAGAAGAAGAAGAGGAAGGAAGAGGAGGAGGAGGAAGAGAAAGAAGGAGGAAGAAGAAGGAAGAAGAAGGAGAAAGAAAGAAGAACAAAGAAGAAAGUUGGACCCCUUACCUCGUACCAUAUACAAAUAUUAACUCACUAAGGAGCUUCUGGAUAGCUGAACACAUGAAGAUACUUGGAGGGAAGGUGGCAUGCCUAGAGAUGUAUGAAAGCUCUAUGCCCCUUCCCACAUGGCUUGACCUAUCCAUCUCUCCAUCUGGCUGUUCAUCUUUAAAAUACCCCUUAUGAUAAAUGGGUAAAUGCUACAUGUUCACUUGGCAUCCUAGGUCAGGCAUUUGGUCUCCACCAGAGCCCAGGAACAAGCCCAGGAGCUGUAUAUUUUAUUUUUUCAAAGUGUGAAUGAGUUAUUUGUGUAAAAAGACAUAGCUGCAAUACAAAACUCUAGGAGUCUACGUCAUGAUUCCUCUAUCAGGGAUUCCCAGAUGGUUCACCAGCAUUCCUAUCUGCAAUAGACAUUUGGAGCACUGUUGAAUCUGCUGGGUCAUAAGGCCCAAGCAGGAAAGCAGCUUAUAUCAUACCUGCAAUAGCUUCAGAAACUUUUCUUGCUCUGGUCCUGUAUUAGCUUUCUAUUGCUAUGUAACAAAUUACCACAAACUUAGUGGCCUAAAACAAAAACAAAAAACAAACAAAAAUUUUGAACUCAUUAUGUAUCAAAUACCUAAAUGUAAGAGCAAAAAGUGUAAAACCUUUAGGAGAAAACAUAAGGGUAAAUAUUCAUGACUUUGGAUUUGGCAAUGGUUUCUUUUUUUUUUUUUUUUUUUUUUGAGAGCGGUCUUGCUUUCAUCCCCCAGGCUUGAGUGCAAUGGCUCAAUCUCGGCUCACUGCAACAUCCGCCUCCCGGGUUCAAACGAUUCUCCUGCCUCUGCCUCCCAAGUAGCUGGGAGCAAAGUGCCGGCCAUCACGCCCGGCUAAUUUUUAUAUUUUUUAGUAGAGACAGGGUUCCACCAUGUUGGCCAGGCUGGUCUCGAACUCCUGACCUUAGGUGAUCUGCCCGCCUCAGCCUCCCAAAGUGCUGGGAUUACAGGCAUGAGACACCACGCUCGGCCUGGCAAUGGUUUCUUAAACAUGAUAUCAAAACCACAUGCAACAAAAAGUAAGUAUGGAUACACUGGACUUCAGCAAAAUUAAAAACUUUCAUGCAUCAGAGAACAUCUUCAAGAAAGUGAAAAGACACUUUUCAUUUCAUUUGUCAAUUUGCAAAUCACAUAUCCAAUAAACUUCUAGUAUCCAGAAUAUAUAAAGGACUCAUAAUUUGAUAACAAAAAGACAAUCCUUUUUUUCUGAGACAAGGUCUCACUCUGUCACCCAGGCUAGAGUACAGUGGAAAGAUCACAGUUCAUUGCAGCCUCAACCUUCCUGGGGCUCAAGUGAUCCUCCCACCUGAGCCUCCUGAGUAGCUGGGACUACAGGUGCCACCAUGCCAGGCUAAUUUUUUGUAUUUUUUCGUAGAGAUGGGGUUUUGCCAUGUUGCCCCAGCUGGUCUCAAACUCUUGGGCUCAAGUGAUCCACACUCUUUGGCCUCCCAAAGUGCUGGGAUUGCAGGUGUGAGCACCCUGCCUGGCCUAGAUAACUCAAUUUUUUAAAUGAGCAAAGGACUUGAAUAGACAUUUCUCUAAAGAAGACAUAUAAAUGGCCAAAAAGUACAUGAAAAGAUGCUCAACAUCAUUAGUCAUUACGGAAAUGCAAAUCAAAACUACAAUGAGAUACCACUUUAUACCCACUGUGAUGGCUAUAAUUAAGGAAAAGAACAAGUAUUGGCAAGAAUGUGGGGACACUGAAACCCUUGGGCCUUCCUGAUGGGAACAUAAAAUGGUACAGCCACUGUGGAAAACAGUUGGUGGUUCCUUAAAAUGUUAAACAUAGAAUUGCCGUAUGACCCAGCAG
rnacentral:lncRNA from 10 species